rnacentral:rRNA from 1 species
AACGAACGCUGGCAGCAUGCCUAAUACAUGCAAGUCGAACGAGAUCUUCGGAUCUAGCGGCGCACGGGUGCGUAACGCGUGGGAAUCUGCCCUUGGGUUCGGAAUAACGUCGGGAAACUGACGCUAAUACCGGAUGAUGACGUAAGCCCAAAGAUUUAUCGCCCGAGGAUGAGCCCGCGUAGGAUUAGCUAGUUGGUGGGUAAAGGCCCACCAAGGCGACGAUCCUUAGCUGGUCUGAGAGGAUGAUCAGCCACACUGGGACUGAGACACGGCCCAGACUCCUACGGGAGGCAGCAGUAGGGAAUAUUGGACAAUGGGGGCAACCCUGAUCCAGCAAUGCCGCGUGAGUGAUGAAGGCCUUAGGGUUGUAAAGCUCUUUUACCCGGGAUGAUAAUGACAGUACCGGGAGAAUAAGCCCCGGCUAACUCCGUGCCAGCAGCCGCGGUAA